GUGGGGAAUCUUGCGCAAUGGGCGAAAGCCUGACGCAGCCAUGCCGCGUGAAUGAUGAAGGUCUUAGGAUUGUAAAAUUCUUUCACCGGGGACGAUAAUGACGGUACCCGGAGAAGAAGCCCCGGCUAACUUCGUGCCAGCAGCCGCGGUAAUACGAAUGGGGCUAGCGUUGCUCGGAAUUACUGGGCGUAAAGGGCGCGUAGGCGGACAGUUUAGUCAGAGGUGAAAGCCCAGGGCUCAACCUUGGAAUUGCCUUUGAUACUGGCUGUCUUGAGUUUGGGAGAGGUGAGUGGAACUCCGAGUGUAGAGGUGAAAUUCGUAGAUAUUCGGAAGAACACCAGUGGCGAAGGCGACUCACUGGCCCAAUACUGACGCUGAGGCGCGAAAGCGUGGGGAGCAAACAGGAUUAGAAACCCGUGUAGUCC
rnacentral:rRNA from 1 species